UGAACGCUGGCGGCGUGCUUAACACAUGCAAGUCGAACGAGAAAGCUUUAGCUUGCUAGAGCGAGUAAAGUGGCGCACGGGUGAGUAACGCGUGGGUAAUCUACCCUUGAAUUUGGGAUAACACUUCGAAAGGGGUGCUAAUACCGGAUAAUAUCUUUUGUAUUGCGGUACGAAAGAUCAAAGAUAGCCUCUUCCUGAAAGCUAUUGUUUGGGGAUGAGCCCGCGUACCAUUAGCUUGUUGGUGGGGUAAUGGCCUACCAAGGCGACGAUGGUUAGCUGGUCUGAGAGGAUGAUCAGCCACACUGGAACUGGAACACGGUCCAGACUCCUACGGGAGGCAGCAGUGAGGAAUUUUGCGCAAUGGGGGAAACCCUGACGCAGCAACGCCGCGUGAGUGAUGAAGGAUUUCGGUUCGUAAAGCUCUGUCAAGUGGGAAGAAGUUAUAUAUGUUUAAUAGACAUAUGUAUUGACGGUACCACUGAAGGAAGCACCGGCUAACUCC
rnacentral:rRNA from 1 species